GGUUGUUCUUAUUGUUGAGAUCAGUGAACACAAAGGUGCCAUAGGUUCGGCUACUAGUCCCCUCAAGAGCUGUCAAUCGAAGGUUAUAGUUGGUCCCAGCCACAAUUUGCAUUUCUCCACUAAUCACUUUUUGGAAGUGGAGUUGAGUUUUUGCCUGUUUAUUGUGUUCGUUCACUGCGAACUCACCUAAGCUUUGAAUCUCGGGCUCAUCUAUGUUUUUUAUUGGUUUGUAGCUGCCCGCCAAAUCUAAACGUUGGGUUGCCACCGCGAGCAACGAUAGCGAUAUGACAUAGAGGAGAAGAGAAGCCACGAAGAAAAGAGCCUUAGCCAUGGUGAUAAAGUUUGAAGAUGAUGAAGAGUAUUUGAUGGUUUGUUGAAGGAGAAGGUUGGUGGGUAUUUAUAGGAAUGGAUAAAUGA